CCUACUGGCGGCAGCAGUAGGGAAUAUUGCUCAAUGGGGGAAACCCUGAAGCAGCAACGCCGCGUGGAGGAUGAAGGUUUUCGGAUUGUAAACUCCUGUUUGUAGAGAAGAUAAUGACGGUAUCUAACGAAUAAGCACCGGCUAACUACGUGCCAGCAGCCGCGGUAAUACGGAGGGUGCAAGCGUUACUCGGAAUCACUGGGCGUAAAGAUCGCGUAGGCGGGAUCGCAAGUCAGAGGUGAAAUCCUAUGGCUUAACCAUAGAACUGCAUUUGAAACUGGUAUUCUAGAGUAUGGGAGAGGUAGGUGGAAUUCUUGGUGUAGGGGUAAAAUCCGUAGAGAUUAAGAGGAAUACUAAUUGCGAAGGCGACCUACUAGAACAUAACUGACGCUGAUGCGCGAAAGCGUGGGGAGCAAACAGGAUUAGAUACCCUAGUAGUC
rnacentral:rRNA from 1 species